rnacentral:lncRNA from 1 species
CACCAGCGGCUUGAUCUGCCCGGCCGACUGACAUGGUGUAAGUUUAGCACGUCAUAAUUUAGUAGGCCACUCCCUAUGUAUCAUAUCUUAGCACACUAUCCACAUUAUUAGUGGUGAUAAUUCAUAAGACUAGUGGAGUGCCCGUGCGUUGCUACGGCGGAUACCCGAUCCAGAUGUAUGUCUAUGAGUAUACCCGAAGAGUCGCCCGAUUAUUCAUGUGUAGGUUAUGUAUAUAAGUUUAUGCCAGCUUAUCCUUACUAUACACAAAAUUAAUUUCUAAUAGCAGUCUCAGCACAUGACAUGACAAAUUGGAGGCAAGGGUUCACCUCAAAUAAAAGAUUGUACUAUUUUUCAAUCGGUGGCUCAGAUCAUUUUCCAGUGUAAAAAAAAUAAAAAUAGAACGGGACGAUGGGUCUGCAGGUUGGAGCUCCACAAUCUCCUAAUUUUUUUUUUGACUAUUUCCAGGAUAAGAUACAUUGCGUAC